AGAAUAGAUUUCCCGAAUUAUUCGUAUUGUUCCACAACGCAUAGGGAAUCAGUGAGGUUCGACGGCCGAAGCAAACAGAGAAGAAGCAGAU